rnacentral:rRNA from 1 species
AUUGAACGCUGGCGGCAGGCCUCACACAUGCAAGUCGAGCGGAGCGGCGGACGGGUGCGUAAUGCCUAGGAAUCUGCCUGGUAGUUGGGGAGAACGUCCGGAAACGGGCGCUAAUACCGCAUACUCUCAGAUGAGCCUAGGUCGGAUUAGCAAGUUGGUGGGGUAAAGGCCUACCAAGGCUACGAUCCGUAGCUGGUCUGAUAGGAUGAUCAGUCACACUGGAACUGAGACACGGUCCAGACUCCUACGGGAGGCAGAAGUGGGGAAUAUUGGACAAUGGGCGCAAGCCUGAUGCAGCCAUGCCGCGUGUGUGAAGAAGGUCUUCGGAUUGUAAAGCACUUUAAGUUGGGAGGCGUUACCCACAGAAUAAGCACCGGCUAACUUCGUGCCAGCAGCCGCGGUAAUUC